GCUGGUCCAGCGCGGAGCAGCCUGGGAGUCCCAGGCAUGCGGUGGAGUGGACGAAGAUUUGUGCGUGUCAGUGUAGGACUUGGUGAACUUGGCGGUGCAGAGGCUGCCGAGGAGCGUGCAGAGCCCUGGCAGCACAACUGGCCGCUGGAAGAGCAGCUUAGUCCAAGCCCGAGGUGAGGGCUGAGCUGGCAGUGGAGGCAUCCCGGGGCCCCAGUGCAGUCCUCCGCCGCUGCCUACAGAGGGGUGAGCACCACAGGCAGAGGCCGAGCCCCCAGGCGAGCAGGCCAGCCAACAGUGUGCCAAGGGGGCGGCCUGGCUGAGGGCAGCGCAGCCGAGAAAGGCAAGGCCGCUGAGCCCUACUUAAGCUACCCCGAGGACUUCGUGGACGGCGUGAGUGCAGAAGGAUCGCUUGACAAUACACUCAAAGAACAGAGCCUCAGGAAACAGACGGAAUUGAUUCAGUGAUUAUAGUGGACAAUAUUCUUCAGGUGGAAUCUGACUGACUUGCAAAUCUCAAAAAUGUCACAGGAUCUUUUAUAAAUUUGGUAAAAUCGCAAUUAUUUUCCUGAAGAGAAUGUAAAGACAAAAGGGAUCCAACUCAGGACCUUGUGUUUCCCAGCAGGCACAGUGCCACUGAGCUAAAUCCCAGGCCCUAACAGAACAUUCUUGAAGCAUACCUGGCGAGAAUACUCACAGAACCAGAGGGACAGAGUUAACAGAACAUUCUCAAAAUGUCUGGUAGUAACAUGGUACAGCUCAAACAGUUACAGAACAUGUUGAUACAUUGGGCAGGAACAUGGUUCAGCACAAAUGAUUGCAUUUCUGGAACAAUGUUUUAUGGAAAAAAUCAUGGGAGGGGGCAAAUGCAAAGGCUUCCCCUGUUUGUUAUUGCUUUUUCAUUUCCCCCUUUGAUGCCCCUAUUUAGGUGUAGCCUCAUGGGGCAUCACUAGUAGCUACAGGGUUACGGUUCAAGUUAGUUCUCCCCAGUAAUUGAAGUACUGACUAUCUUGUGAGAGCCUGAACCUGGUCUCGUAGGAACUCCGUGAGGUACCUGAACAGACAAGGGCCAAUCAUCAGCAACAGGAAGAUGGGGACCAAAGUUUUGAGCAGAGGGACCAACCACGUUGUCCAUUUAUCCCAGGUGAAACUCUAAAACCUGCUGGUUUGGGAUUGUUCCCGGAGUUUGGCGGCUCUGUCUUAGACACCUUUUACAGCUUGAUGACUGACCUCUGAUCUGUUACAGAAACAAUGCUCUUCCCUGAGAAAGAUAGAUUA